rnacentral:rRNA from 1 species
CGGCAACAGCUCAAAUUUGAAAGCUGGCCCUUUUAGGGUCCGCAUUGUAAUUUGUAGAGGAUGAUUCGGCGAGGGCUCCUGCCUAAGUCCCCUGGAACGGGGCGUCAUAGAGGGUGAGAAUCCCGUAUGCGGUAGGUUGCCUUAGCCAUGUGAAUCUCCUUCGAC